CAUUUGUUGUGACCUAUAUACAUCAAUAAAAACUUAGUAUUAAAAAAUAAUUCCACUAUUGUCCAAAUACUUUAUGGCAUAUCAGAGCAACGUAGCUCAAUCGAGAUAUUGGAGUAAACUAUAUUUUUGGGAAAGCAUUGAUCUCAAUCGAAUAACUGCCAAAAAAACUGUGAAGGACUAUCUCAGGAUCGAGCAGAUACAGGCGAAGGGCAAAGCAAACUAUCGAGGGACAAAAUGAAGACCAGGGCGAUUGGAGGUCUAUUGACCCACGCCUCAGCGCACAACCCCUUUUUAACUUGCGAAGCUACCCAAUCAGCACCUAACCGAAUCAAAGGAACCCGCUUUUGUUUAAUUCAGUUUUGUUGGGCGUAGCAGGGAUCAGUGGGAGAGCCAGGAAGUUUGUAUAGAGGGGGCACCUCACAUAUUGAAAUGACAUUUGAAUUUUUUUUACUUAAUACAAAAUCCCUAAAUUUGAUUAUUAUACUCUAUUAUUUUACAUAUUACAUGAACUAUCUACUCAUCAUUAAUGCUAGCA
rnacentral:lncRNA from 1 species